rnacentral:rRNA from 1 species
AUACGGAGGGAGCGAGCGUUAAUCGGAAUUACUGGGCGUAAAGCGCUCGUAGGCGGCUUGUUAAGUCGGAUGUGAAAGCCCCGGGCUCAACCUGGGAACUGCAUUCGAUACUGGCAGGCUAGAGUAUAGUAGAGGCAAGUGGAAUUCCGGGUGUAGCGGUGAAAUGCGUAGAUAUCCGGAGGAACAUCAGUGGCGAAGGCGACUUGCUGGACUAAUACUGACGCUGAGGAGCGAAAGCGUGGGGAGCAAACGGGAUUAGAAACCCCGGUAGUCC